GUCUGCAGGCCGAUGCUCUAUCCACUGAGCCAAACUGGUUAGGGCACACUGCGUAUUUUCAGAGGAGUUGGGAGAAGACAGAUGAGGUCAGAAGACCCUGAGCUUCACAAGUGGGAUUGGUGUUAUGCAGGCCUAAGAAACCUGUUCUUGAAUGCCAGUGCCCAAGAGGCUUGAAUCCCAGCACUAGGACCAGAGAGAGUUCCGGAAGCACUUCCUGUCUAGCCAGGUAACCGGAGGGGGCACCACGGGGCUCAUCCAGUGAACCAACAGGUUGUCUCUGUCACUUUGAAGCAGUUGUGCUUCACAGAUUGAGACAAAGUAUUAAAGGCAAGAAGCCUUACCGACAACAGUGGGGUGAUGGCCAGAGGGAAAAGUUGGAGGUAUCUGGAGGUGGGUAAAGGGGGAGAAUGGGAACGGAAAGAGACUUUGUUUGGGGUGGAGGCCAUUCAUUGCAGCGUGAUGAUGUUUUGUUGUGUUGUACACUUGAAACGUAUGGUUUUGUGAAACAAUGUCACAUCUAUAGGUUGUUUU